rnacentral:rRNA from 1 species
GAGCUUGCUCCUGGAUUCAGCGGCGGACGGGUGAGUAAUGCCUAGGAAUCUGCCUGGUAGUGGGGGACAACGUUUCGAAAGGAACGCUAAUACCGCAUACGUCCUACGGGAGAAAGCAGGGGACCUUCGGGCCUUGCGCUAUCAGAUGAGCCUAGGUCGGAUUAGCUAGUUGGUGAGGUAAUGGCUCACCAAGGCGACGAUCCGUAACUGGUCUGAGAGGAUGAUCAGUCACACUGGAACUGAGACACGGUCCAGACUCCUACGGGAGGCAGCAGUGGGGAAUAUUGGACAAUGGGCGAAAGCCUGAUCCAGCCAUGCCGCGUGUGUGAAGAAGGUCUUCGGAUUGUAAAGCACUUUAAGUUGGGAGGAAGGGUUGUAGAUUAAUACUCUGCAAUUUUGACGUUACCGACAGAAUAAGCACCGGCUAACUCUGUGCCAGCAGCCGCGGUAAUACAGAGGGUGCAAGCGUUAAUCGGAAUUACUGGGCGUAAAGCGCGCGUAGGUGGUUUGUUAAGUUGGAUGUGAAAUCCCCGGGCUCAACCUGGGAACUGCAUCCAAAACUGGCAAGCUAGAGUAUGGUAGAGGGUGGUGGAAUUUCCUGUGUAGCGGUGAAAUGCGUAGAUAUAGGAAGGAACACCCAGUGGCGAACGCCACCACCCGCACUGAUAUCUCCGACACUUUGACGUGCGAAAGCGGGGCGAGCUAAUCAAGGAUUAGAUACCCGUGGGUAGUCCACGCAGUAAACGAUGUCAACUAGACAGUUGGGAGCGCUUGAGCUCUUACCGAGCGCAGCUAACGCAUUAAGUUGACCGCCUGGGGAGUACGGCCGCAAGGUUAAAACUCAAAUGAAUUGACGGGGGCCCGCACAAGCGGUGGAGCAUGUGGUUUAAUUCGAAGCAACGCGAAGAACCUUACCAGGCCUUGACAUCCAAUGAACUUUCCAGAGAUGGAUUGGUGCCUUCGGGAACAUUGAGACAGGUGCUGCAUGGCUGUCGUCAGCUCGUGUCGUGAGAUGUUGGGUUAAGUCCCGUAACGAGCGCAACCCUUGUCCUUAGUUACCAGCACGUAAUGGUGGGCACUCUAAGGAGACUGCCGGUGACAAACCGGAGGAAGGUGGGGAUGACGUCAAGUCAUCAUGGCCCUUACGGCCUGGGCUACACACGUGCUACAAUGGUCGGUACAGAGGGUUGCCAAGCCGCGAGGUGGAGCUAAUCCCACAAAACCGAUCGUAGUCCGGAUCGCUAGUCUGCAACUCGACUGCGUGAAG